CGUUGGAUUGGAAGGAUCAGGUGAGCUCCACAGAAUCGUCGAAUCACAAGGCAGGGGGCUCAACUAGGUUAGGCUUUCGCUUCUAUUCUCGGCCUUGCGAAGAUGUAGGACUCUCGGACGCUUGGAAGAGGAGAGGCGGCCGGUGGUUUGACGGCACGGCGUGAGGAAGACGUAAGCGAAGGAUGCGCGUCAGUCGGGAGAGACGCAGGGCGGAUGAGAGAUGAGAAGAGCGAAGGAAGCGCGUGGGAUUCGGAAAGCGAGCAACGCGGCAACCACGAACGGAGCCGUCCGUAUCAGCCGAGAAGACAAUAACCAUGGGACUUCCCCAUCAAGGUAGUCCUGAGUUGAUAGCAUCACCUUCAUGUCCUCUUCGGUUGUAUUCUGUGGUCAUCGGCAACAAUGAGAUUGAAAUGCUUAUCCACAGAUGUCUGACUGCUAGCUAAUAUGCAACUUCCUGGCACUUGAAAAGUUACCCAUAAUUUUCCAUGUGUCAGACAAAGCUUGAAGCAAAGACUUGUUUUACAAGUGGAAGGAGAAAUGAACCAUUUAUUUGUCUUUGGACUUGCACAGGUCAGGAACAUGAUGAAAACUGUGAGUUCAAUAAUUGUCUCAGACCUUCCCAAACUUCUCCUCUUCCUCCAUUGCAUAUGGUCCACAUAAAUUUGUUCUCCCCCAUUCCCACACGAUGCGUCAUCUGGAUAGGCUUUUGAUCGUGACUUGAGAUGAUAGUGAUGCAUAACAAAAGCAUUGCUUGCUUAUGUUAGAUUGACAUGUCAUGGAGUUUUGAAUGAAGCAACAAAAUGGCCACAUCAGUCUGCAGAAUUCUGUUUCAAAUCUCAAUCUCAAAGUCAAAUCAUAAUAUCUAUCCAUCACAAAGUUGGUCCCAAGCAAGUUGAAGGAUUCAAGCAACUGCUUUUUUUUGCUUGUGUUGGUGUAAAAAAGAAGAAUAUUUUUCUCAAGCCAUGUCCAAUUGAGUAUGCUUGGCCUUGUCAUGAAUCUUAGCAUGUGGAUUUCUUA